rnacentral:rRNA from 1 species
GACGAACGCUGGCGGCGUGCUUAACACAUGCAAGUCGAACGGAAAGGCCCUGCUUUUGUGGGGUGCUCGAGUGGCGAACGGGUGAGUAACACGUGAGUAACCUGCCCUUGACUUUGGGAUAACUUCAGGAAACUGGGGCUAAUACCGGAUAGGAGCUCCUGCUGCAUGGUGGGGGUUGGAAAGUUUCGGCGGUUGGGGAUGGACUCGCGGCUUAUCAGCUUGUUGGUGGGGUAGUGGCUUACCAAGGCUUUGACGGGUAGCCGGCAUGAGAGGGUGACCGGCCACAUUGGGACUGAGAUACGGACCAGACUGCAACGGGAGGCAGCAGUGGGGAAUAUUGCACAAUGAGCGGAAGCGUGAUGCAGCAACGCCGCGUGCGGGAUGACGGCCUUCGGGUUGUAAACCGCUUUCGCCUGUGACGAAGCGUGAGUGACGGUAAUGGGUAAAGAAGCACCGGCUAACUACGUG